UCCCUUGUAGCUCAGUUGGUAAAGAAUCUGCUUGCAAUGCAGGAGAUCUGGGUUCGAUUCCUGGGUUGGGAA
rnacentral:tRNA from 1 species